AUUUCACUGCAAAGUACAGCAUGUGGUAUGGUUAGGCGACAUCGCUUGGCAUCAAGAGGGGCAAAGGGAUCUUUUACAUCAUAUGGCCAAAUUCUUAACUUGACAGUGCAAGGUAAUUCUUCGGCAGCAGCUGCAGCCAAAGAGGUAGCAAAUUCAGAGUGGAUUCUACUAGCAACAGGCAAAGCAUCAUUUUCACUACGUCCCAUGCUACCAACACCAGACCCAGUUGCUGAUGUUUGGGAUCGUGAAGAUCGAUAAUGCAGACCAGAUCUCUCACUGCCCCUAGAUUGGCCAAUAUUGAUUGGAAUUACAGGGGAUGAAGCAUGAUUUUCUGUUCCACCAAAUGCUCUUAAAUUUUCAUGAGCCAAGCCACUAAGUGAACCCAUUGUGUGGCGCGCCGUUUGGCUCUGGCCAACUAACCACCCAUGCAAAAAAGGAACUUCCCAGUACAGUCUAUCACCAAAGGGUAAGGUGGAAUUAUUUCUCUCUACAGUCUGCACUUCCGCUGUCUCAACAGUAUCCAUUGCGAAUUGAGGAGCUUCGUUAUCAAUGUCACCCAUUAAAGAAUCAGUCCGAGUUUCUUCUGGUACAGGAGAUGAGCUAUUAGGU
rnacentral:misc_RNA from 1 species